GAGGGUAUAGCUUAAGCAUUAGAGCACAUGCUUAGCAAGCAUGAGGUCCUGGGUUCAAUCCCCAAUAUCUCCA
rfam:Camelus ferus unplaced genomic scaffold scaffold1010, whole genome shotgun sequence.